UACGUAGGGUGCGAGCGUUUGUCCGGAAUUAUUGGGGCGUAAAGGGCUCGUAGGCGGUUUGUCGCGUCGGGAGUGAAAACCAGGUGCUUAACACCUGGCUUGCUUUCGAUACGGGCAGACUAGAGGUAUUCAGGGGAGAACGGAAUUCCUGGUGUAGCGGUGAAAUGCGCAGAUAUCAGGAGGAACACCGGUGGCGAAGGCGGUCUCUGGGCAUUACCUGACGCUGAGGAGCGAAAGUGUGGGGAGCGAACAGG
rnacentral:rRNA from 1 species